CAGCCGCCGCGGGAAUACGAAGGGUGCAAGCGUUAAUCGGAAUUACUGGGCGUAAAGCGUGCGUAGGCGGUUUGUUAAGUCUGCUGUGAAAUCCCCGGGCUCAACCUGGGAAUGGCAGUGGAUACUGGCAAGCUAGAGUGUGUCAGAGGAUGGUGGAAUUCCCGGUGUAGCGGUGAAAUGCGUAGAGAUCGGGGGGAACAUCAGUGGCGAAGGCGGCCAUCUGGGACAACACUGACGCUGAGGCACGAAAGCGUGGGGAGCAAACAGGAUUAGAUACCCGAGUAGUCCCUGUCUCUUAUAC
rnacentral:rRNA from 1 species